GGGUGACUCGUCUAGUGGUUAGGACACUUCGUUGUGGUUGACCGAAGAAACCCUGGUUCGAUUCCAGGGUCACCCA
rnacentral:tRNA from 1 species